rnacentral:lncRNA from 1 species
AUGAUGUUUUUAUUCAUUUCCAUUGUCCUCCUCUUAGAGAUGCCAGCAGAUGUGCUGGGAUUGACUUUGAAUUCAGUUUCAAAGGUUUUGGUUAGAGCAGAAGGCAAAACUAUAUUUCUGCCUUGCAAUGCGACUGGUCUGGGCUCUUCAGACUAUAUCCAUUGGUACCAAGUUAAAGACGGUCAAGCCCCAUCGAGACUACUCUACAUCAGUCAAGGAGGUAGUGUUGCUUAUGAUACCAACAUUAAAGAAGCAAAAGACUUCACAGUGGACAAAAAAAAGCUUUAUGAUCUAAAACUGAGUAAUACUCAGACAAGUCAUUCUGCCGUUUACUUCUGCGCCUACUGGGACACAAGCAGCGGCCACAGUGAGAAGAUUUACUCACAUCCUGUACAUGAACUAUACUUGUAAUGUUAUUACCAAUAUUUAUAUACUUAAAUUGUCUUUUUUGAUUUUAAAUUCUUAAUUUGACUUAAGCUUUAUAUGCACAUGCUGGCUGGAUGAUGGUAUUUGGAUCUGUUUGGAUUGGAAUAAUAAUUGCCCUGGUGUUCAUGGACACAUUGUGCAUGUUUGUAUGAGUUUUUUGUACCCACUGUAUUUACAUUUGGGAUUUUGGAAUAUAUCAAGUGUAUCUUAUUUAUUAUGUGUAUUCCAACAUUUUUAAAAGAUAAAAUUUGUAAUUAUUUGUCUAGGGAUUAUGAGUAUUUAUGGGUUUGUAUAAUGUUCAGUUUGAUGAAGCACUUGUUUGAAAUAUCACUUUUCCUUGUCGGGUUAUUAUAGUUAGGCUAACUACAAAAUACAACAAAAAAAUAUUUAUAAAUAUUUGUUCCUUAAAAUACUUGAGAAUUAAACAACAAAAUAAAAUACAAUCUAAAAAACACAGACUUUCUUUAUUUCAGCUAGUUGCCAAGGCAACAUUUUUAUGUUUAAUUUUAUGUAAUAAAAUAACUACAACUAAAGCUGAAAUAAAAAUCAAUAAAAAAAAAACAUAAAGACAAACAAAAACUAAUAAAACUGACCCUCAGUGAUACUAAUAUAGGCUAUGGCCUUUUAGUGUAGGUGUAAAAUAAAUUUUAAAUUACACAUUAUGAAUUAAAUAAAAUAAAAAAGAAUGUAUUCCAAAUGACCUCACAAUGUCAUUAUUAGCUAAAUGUUUUUUAACUGAAUUUUACUCAAAAAAUCUUUGAAUCCAAAUUAGCCAUUUUAGCAAAGAAAAAAAGAAGGGUGCUAUUGAGGAAGAUUUGCUUUAUAACCCAGAGGUUUUUUUUGUUGUUGUUGUUGUUUUUUAAUAAUACGUUAAAUGAAUGUCGAUUCCCAUCACGCUUCAUUUAUAUAGACUGUGUGAAAAAACUUCUUGUGGUAGUGAUGAUGAGGACAGCAUAAAGGGCAAAGAGGAAACCACAAGGCCAUUAUCAUUACCUUCUGAUUGGCUGCAGUGUUGCCAACUUAACAAUUUUGUUGCUAAAUUUAGCAACUUUUCAAGUCUACCCUAGCAACUUUUUCUUCCAAAAGCACCUAGCAACAAAUUUAGCAAUUAAAAAAAAAAUUUAUUUGGCAACUUUUAGCAACUUUCGAUAAAUGACUCACACAUUUUCCAUCCAAAUUACACAAAAAGAGGAAACCACAGCUUAGCAGUACACACAUCACGUAAAUUGAGUUAGCUGCUAUUUGCAGUUGUUCAAUUUAAUAAUAAUAAUAAUAAUAAUAAUAAUAAUAAUAAUUGAAUAAUUUGGUAAUUGAAUAAUUGUUCAUUUAUGAUACACUUUGUAGUAGCUUGUACUUGUGAUUGUUAAUCAGUUAGUACACUGUAAAAAAAAUGGAAAAUCUUUCAGGACAUUAUCCAUUAUCCAACAUCCAUUGUAACCCUGUAACCCUAAAAUGGAGGUAAACAAAUCAUUAUGGAAAAUUCUUUCAUAUUAACAUAGUAGAUUGUGCCUUAUUUUUACAGACUUUUCUUAGAGUGUAGCAUACUGACAUCACAACGUCAUUUAGAAACUUUUAGCAACAGAUCAACCUUCUUUUAGCAACUUUCUCUGAAAAUUAGUUUGCAACACUGAUUGGCUGCUGUCGCUCAUAACUCUUCAAACUCCUGGACGACAGAGGUAGACAUGGCAUUCGAUAUGGAUUCUAACAGAAAACGCUCGACUGUUGCUAUGGUUACUCCUCUGUUGGGGAGAAACUGCUGUUCGUUUAGUGGGUUCUUGUGGUUAAUGUAAUGAUAUAAGUAAAAAUGUAAGUGUUUUAUUGUAUGUAUAUGCUCAGAGUGUUUUAAUCGUUUCUCUUAUGAUUUUAGAAUGUUUAAAUGGACAAAUAAGGCAUAUUGAAUCUGUGAUGAUUAGGACAAGGAGUAAAGCUGCUCUAAUCAGAUGCGAAGUGGAUUCAGAGACGCUUCAAUCCAACGCUCUCCACUGGUACAGACUCAAAGAUCAAGCUUUCCAAUGAUUCACGUAUUUCGAGCUGGUUCAACAACACCCAGAAAAGACGCUGAUGCCCCCCGUAGAUUUGCUGGAUCGCUGAAGGGUAAUAUAGUGACACUGACUAUCUCAAAAUCGGAGACCAGCAUCAUCAAUGCGGUUUUAUUUGGAACAGCAGCAAGGAGCAGACAUUAGACAUAACAACUGUCAUGUUGCUUUUUGUUGUCAAUAUUUCAUAAAAAAUUAUGUUAAAAGGAUACUCCAUCCCAAAAUGAAAUUUUGUCAUUAUUGAAAAAAUGAAAUUUUGUCAUUAUUCACAUACCCCCAUGCGUUCCAAACCCGUAAAAGCUUCCUUCAUCAUCGGACCACAAUUUAAGAUAUUUUGGAUGAAAACCGGUAGGCUUGACUGUCCCAUAGACUGCCAAAUAAAUAAAAGUGUCAAGGUCCAGGAAAGUAUGAAAAGCAUUGUCAGAAUAGUCCAUCUGCCAUCAGUAAUUCAACCGUUACAUUAUAAAGCGAAGAGAAUACUUUUUGUACAUGAAGAAAACAAAAAUAACGUCUUUAUUAAACAAUUCCUCUCCUCUGUGUCUCUCCAAAUCAGCGUAGUGCCAUUUUGGCAAUUCUGAGCUGUACGCAGAUGGCGUACGCUCUUCUCAAUUGCGGUGGAGUAACCCUUUAAUUGUUCCAAAAGUAUUCUCAGAAGAAAGAACCCUAAACACAAGAUUUGCAAUAUAGGCUACUGUGACUGUCAAUUUUUCUAAAAUGUCUUUUAUGUAUAGAUUUUCUUUUUAUUUUAUGUCACAGUUCCAGAACUCAAUCUUAAUUUUCAAUAAUUUUCAUCUCAAUCGUUUUACAUUUACAUUUAAAAAACAUUUGUAACAAAACUUUUAAUCUUAAUCAUAAUAACUACGUUGACAAUUAUUUUAUUUUAUUUAUUAUGGCAACACUAUAAUAUUUAUUAUUUAUAUAUGAUGUUACUCAUUGAUCUAAGCACCCAAAAUUAAGGUUGAGUGCAGUGAUUUUAAUUUUUUGUCACUGCCUCCACAAUCAACAUUUUUGCAUAAUAAAGUUCUAUCAAACAUUUAUGGACAUGGUUACAAAAUGAGCUGAAAAUAAAUAUGAGACAUGAUGUUUGAAGAAAAAAAAAGUGAAACACUUGAUGGAACAGAACAUUUUUAUUCUAGUCCAGGAGUUUUAUAAAGUCUGCAAAAAGUUUGAAAAUAUUGUUUGAUUGUUAUGAUAAAAUAAAACUGACAAAUGGGUCAGCUGUUUUAUUAAGUUCAUCUGAAAUUAAAAAAAAAAUAAAUGGGUCUAGUCUGUUUAUUAAGUUCAUACUAGAAUUAAAAAAAUAAAAAAUCCAUCUCAGAAUGCUAUGAACAAUACAUUUGGAAAUGAAACUACAGUGAAAACUAUUUUCAGAAAACAUGACAUAUGGACCAAAUAUGUUGGAGGCCUUUCCUUAAUGUUUUUCCAAACCAGCAUUGAAAUAUGCCUUUAAGAAAUACAAAAACCGUUUUGGUAGUGACUUUGGAUCAAAUGUCAACAGAUUUUGAUCAAAGCAGUGGGCAAAAGUUCAUAUCUCCCCUGCAAAGUGACUGCUUUGCCAUCUUGGAAUUAUAUCCAUUGGUAACAAAAGAGAGAGAGUGAAGUCCCAUCAAGACUACUCAAUGCAGUUGGCAGCUUUACUCCCAGCAAUCGUCAAGCAAAUGACUCCACCAUGGACAAAACACAGCUUUAUAACCUCAAACUGAGCAACUCAAAUCCGAUUCAUGCUGCCCUGUACUUCUGUGCCUACUGAGACUCAAGCAACCAGUAAAAACAUACACACACAUACUGUACAUUAAUUCAAGGAUAUUGUUAUUAGACAGCAUUCAUUAGAUUUUACUUUUCUGAAUAUAAUGUGACAUCUAUUCUUAGAGCUGAUAUUUCAUGUAUAUAAACCCAAUUUCCAACAUGCAUCCUGAAGAGUAUAUCUGUUAUAUCUGAACAGUUAUUUGUUUAAUGCGCAGAUCUCCAACAGUGGAUGGUGCUACUAAAGUGCGAAAGAGGAUUUUUUUCACCUUUGAGGCUCUAUGCAAAUACUUCUAAUAAAUUGCAUUUUACUAGAUAAUAAAUUGAAUAAAAUCCCGAUGGGACAUAAUAUAUCAGUCAGGUGUGGUAGAAAUGCAUUUGUUUUUAAAUAAUUCAUCCUGAUUGCUGUACAAAUUACAUUUACAAAGAGCGUUGACAUUUGUCAGAGCUCCACCUCAGCAAAUACUCUAAUAAAUUGUCAUUUACUAGAUAAUAAAUUGAAUAAAAUCCCGAUGGGACAUAAUAUAUCAGUCAGGUGUGGUAGAAAUGCAUUUAUUUUUAAAUAAUUCAUCCUGAUUGCUGUACAAAUUACAUUUACAAAGAGCGUUGACAUUUGUCAGAGCUCCACCUCAGGAAAUGACUUUGGCAAACUGAUGUGUGUAACUGAACAAAUUUUCUGCAAUGAUUUUUGCAAAACAAUGUAAAGAAGUGUACAGGAAACUUUAUCAUCUUGCAUAAUCGAAUGAACGACGCUCAUAAACGUGUACUGUUGUUCUCAUUAUGAUCCAUGUUAAGUAAACUUUAAAGGGGGUUAAAUAGACUAAAAUACAUUAAUAAAACAUAAAUCACAUU